rnacentral:rRNA from 1 species
AGCACGCGCAGACCUUACCACCUUUUGACAUGCCCGGACCGCCACAGAGAUGUGGCUUUCCCUUCGGGCACUGGGACACAGGUGCUGCAUGGCUGUCGUCAGCUCGUGUCGUGAGAUGUUGGGUUAAGUCCCGCAACGAGCGCAACCCUCGCCAUUAGUUGCCAUCAUUUAGUUGGGAACUCUAAUGGGACUGCCGGUGCUAAGCCGGAGGAAGGUGGUGAUGACGUCAAGUCCUCAUGGCCCUUACAGGGUGGGCUACACACGUGCUACAAUGGCGACUACAGAGGGUUAAUCCUUAAAAGUCGUCUCAGUUCGGAUUGUCCUCUGCAACUCGAGCGCAUGAAGUUGGAAUCGCUAGUAAUCGCGGAUCAGCAUGCCGCGNUGAAUACGUUCCCGGGCCUUGUACACACCGCCCGUCACACCAUGUGAGUUGGUUCUACCCGAAGUCGAUGCGCUAACCGCAAGNAGGCAGUCGACCACGGUAGGCUCAGCGACUG